GCGUCUGUAGCUCAGUUGGAUAGAGCAACGGCCUUCUAAGCCGUGGGUCGCGGGUUCGAAUCUUGCCAGACGCACCA
rnacentral:tRNA from 4 species